UGUGAAUCAGGGCUGCUCAGCAGAGCCAGAGAUGGCAUCCAUGAAGGUUCAGUCCUUAGACACAGCCAGGCAUUCACAGACAUCUUUCCUGAAAACAUCAGCAGUACCAGAAGCACUGGGACCCUGCAGUGCUCCUGUGUGUGACCUCCCAGCUGUGACACAAUCCAGAGAGCGGCAGGAGUGGAACCCCAAAGCACUUUACAAAUUACAGAGAGAAGAACGACGUUCAUUCAGUCCCUCCUGGUAAGCUGUCACUGCUGGUCUGCAAUACAGCAGCUGGGUCACAGCCCACAGCAGCAUCUCCAGCAGCUCUGGGUGGGCAGCAGGAAUCAGGACAACAUCCAGAGGCAUGGCAGGAGAAAAUAAACCAGGCAUGGUGUGACUCCUUGGAGUGGACUGUGGUUUUGAUGUGUGUUUUGGGGAAGGUUUCAAAGGAGGAUGGGUGUGAUUGGGUGGUGACUCCUCUGGGAUU
rnacentral:lncRNA from 12 species